rnacentral:rRNA from 1 species
CCUACGGGUGGCUGCAGUGAGGAAUAUUGGUCAAUGGGCGUAAGCCUGAACCAGCCAAGUAGCGUGCAGGAUGACGGCCCUAUGGGUUGUAAACUGCUUUUAUGCGGGGAUAAAGUGCGGGACGUGUCCCGCUUUGCAGGUACCGCAUGAAUAAGGACCGGCUAAUUCCGUGCCAGCAGCCGCGGUAAUACGGAAGGUCCGGGCGUUAUCCGGAUUUAUUGGGUUUAAAGGGAGCGUAGGCCGUGUAUUAAGUGUGUUGUGAAAUGUAGAUGCUCAACAUCUGAACUGCAGCGCAUACUGGUGCACUUGAGUACGCACAACGUAGGCGGAAUUCGUCGUGUAGCGGUGAAAUGCUUAGAUAUGACGAAGAACUCCGAUUGCGAAGGCAGCUUACGGGAGCGCAACUGACGCUGAUGCUCGAAGGUGCGGGUAUCGAAC